UAAAUGUGUUUUUUAAAUUUUGAAGUGUUUGAACUGUAUAAAUAAACUUUGUUUUUCAUUUACAUUAAUUUCAAUUUUUAUAAUCACUGUUAUUUUCUGUAUGCUCAUAUUUCUUAUCUCUUAAUUGUAUUAUUGGCAACGCUCCGUCUCUGGGGAUACAAUACCUAUUUCGAAAAUUUAUUUCAUAACCUCAGAUUUUCGUUUAAUCAAGUCAUUGUUUUCAUCUUCCACAUUUUAUCUCUCAAUUUACGUAAUCGGAAUAGUUCAUUUUACAUGUAAAUCAACGUUUUCAAAAUCUAUUUCAAAAUUUUAUACGUUUCUCGAUAGUAGUUAAAUUUUUUUCAGUGUCUAAAAUUCUUUUCUGUUUCACGUCAAAAUUUUUUUCAGUGUCUAAAAUUCAUUUCAGUUUCACGUCAUUCGUUUGAAGUUUCAGAAUAUUUUCAAACGAAAUGUCAGUUGCGGUUACAGAUCUUGAUGUAUAUUCCUACCAAGUCACUAUUUCUGGAAACAUAUCCAAUUUAACUGGUUUGAAAAAAUCUGCAAAAAAUAAUUGUUAUUUUUAUUUCGACCUUACGGACACCACCGGCACUAUUAAUUGUGUUUGCUUUGAAAAAGAUUUUCUUUCAGAUUUCCAAGAUGCAACUGCAUUGAAGCUCAGCAACUUUUAUGUAAAAAAACACAAUUUUAGUUCAAAACUUCAAUUAUUAGUUAAUAAAACUACACUUUAUGAAAAAAUAGAUCAACUUGCGCUCAACAUUUCCGAUAAUUUUUCUAAUAUCCAAGAUUUAAUACGCAGUAAAGAAGGAGAUAUUAUUGAUUUUCAAGGACGACUAAUUGAAAAACCCAUUUUGGUAGAGGUUACAUUGAAAAACGGAGAAAGAGCAAAAAUUCUUACAACGAAAAUCACCGAUGGAACUCAGCAAUGCAUCAAACUUUCCUGCUGGAAUACAAAGAUGUAUGAAUAUCAGAACCUAAUUGGCAACGAAGAGGUCUGCAUUAAAAAAGCAGUGGUAAAAAGUUAUCAAGGAACUAAAUACAUUGAACUGAGUCAACAGAGCAUAAUUA
rnacentral:lncRNA from 1 species